rnacentral:rRNA from 1 species
UAGCAAGGUUAACCGAAUAGGGGAGCCGGAGGGAAACCGAGUCUUAACCGGGCGUUAAGUUGCAGGGUAUAGACCCGAAACCCGGUGAUCUAGCCAUGGGCAGGUUGAAGGUUGGGUAACACUAACUGGAGGACCGAACCGACUAAUGUUGAAAAAUUAGCGGAUGACCUGUGGCUGGGGGUGAAAGGCCAAUCAAACCGGGAGAUAGCUGGUUCUCCCCGAAAGCUAUUUAGGUAGCGCCUCGUGAAUUCAUCUCCGGGGGUAGAGCACUGUUUCGGCUAGGGGGCCAUCCCGGCUUACCAACCCGAUGCAAACUGCGAAUACCGGAGAAUGUUAUCACGGGAGACACACGGCGGGUGCUAACGUCCGUCGUGAAGAGGGAAACAACCCAGACCGCCAGCUAAGGUCCCAAAGUCAUGGUUAAGUGGGAAACGAUGUGGGAAGGCCCAGACAGCCAGGAUGUUGGCUUAGAAGCAGCCAUCAUUUAAAGAAAGCGUAAUAGCUCACUGGUCGAGUCGGCCUGCGCGGAAGAUGUAACGGGGCUAAACCAU